rnacentral:tRNA from 1 species
GGGGUUGUAGCUCAGUGGUAGAGUGCUUGUCUAGCAUGUGUGUGGCACUGGGUUGAACUCCUGGCACCCCCA